UACGUAGGGUGCAAGCGUUAAUCGGAAUUACUGGGCGUAAAGCGUGCGCAGGCGGUUUUGUAAGUCAGAUGUGAAAUCCCCGGGCUUAACCUGGGAACUGCGUUUGAAACUACAAGGCUAGAGUGUGGCAGAGGGGGGUGGAAUUCCACGUGUAGCAGUGAAAUGCGUAGAGAUGUGGAGGAACACCGAUGGCGAAGGCAGCCCCCUGGGUUAACACUGACGCUGAGGAGCGAAAGCGUGGGGAGCGAACAGG
rnacentral:rRNA from 1 species